rnacentral:rRNA from 1 species
UCCACUCGUUCCCAUCCCGAACACGACCGUUAAGCCCUCCAGCGCCGAUGGUACUUGGGGUGCAGACCCCUGGGAGAGUAGGACGUUGCCAGGC